rnacentral:rRNA from 1 species
CAGUUAUCGUAUAUUUGAUAGUACCUACUACAUGGAUAACCGUGGUAAUUCUAGAGCUAAUACAUGCUUAAAAUCCCGACUUCGGAAGGGAUGUAUUUAUUAGAUUAAAAACCAAUGCCCCUUCGGGGCUCACUGGUGAUUCAUAAUAACUUCUCGAAUCGCAUGGCCUUGUGCCGGCGAUGGUUCAUUCAAAUUUCUGCCCUAUCAACUUUCGACGGCUGGGUCUUGGCCAGCCGUGGUUACAACGGGUAACGGAGGGUUAGGGCUUGACCCCGGAGAAGGAGCCUGAGAAACGGCUACUACAUCCAAGGAAGGCAGCAGGCGCGCAAAUUACCCAAUCCCGAUACGGGGAGGUAGUGACAAUAAAUACUGAUACAGGGCUCUUUUGGGUCUUGUAAUUGGAAUGAGUACAAUUUAAAUCCCUUAACGAGGAACAAUUGGAGGGCAAGUCUGGUGCCAGCAGCCGCGGUAAUUCCAGCUCCAAUAGCGUAUAUUAAAGUUGUUGCAGUUAAAAAGCUCGUAGUUGAACCUUGGGCCUGGCUGGCCGGUCUGCCUCACCGCAUGCACUGGUCCGGCCGGGCCUUUCCCUCUGGGGAGCCGCAUGCCCUUCACUGGGUGUGUCGGGGAACCAGGACUUUUACUGUGAAAAAAUUAGAGUGUUCAAAGCAGGCCUAUGCUCGAAUACAUUAGCAUGGAAUAAUAGAAUAGGACGUUGCGGUUCUAUUUUGUUGGUUUCUAGGACCGCCGUAAUGAUUAAUAGGGACAGUCGGGGGGCAUCAGUAUUCAAUCGUCAGAGGUGAAAUUCUUGGAUCGAUUGAAGACUAACUACUGCGAAAGCAUUUGCCAAGGAUGUUUUCAUUAAUCAGGAACGAAAGUUAGGGGAUCGAAAAACGAUCAGAUACCGUUGUAGUCUUAACCAUAAACUAUG